UACGUAGGGACCAAGCGUUGUUCGGAUUUACUGGGCGUAAAGGGCGCGUAGGCGGCAAUUCAAGUCAUCUGUGAAAUCUCCGGGCUUAACUCGGAACGGUCAGAUGAUACUGCUUUGCUAGAGUGCGGAAGGGGCAAUCGGAAUUCUUGGUGUAGCGGUGAAAUGCGUAGAUAUCAGGAGGAAUACCGAUGGCGAAGGCAGGUCUCUGGGCUGACACUGACGCUCAUGCACGAAAGCGUGGGGAGCAAACAGG
rnacentral:rRNA from 1 species